rnacentral:rRNA from 1 species
UACGAAGGGGGCUAGCGUUGCUCGGAAUCACUGGGCGUAAAGGGCGCGUAGGCGGCCGAUUAAGUCGGGGGUGAAAGCCUGUGGCUCAACCACAGAAUUGCCUUCGAUACUGGUUGGCUUGAGACCGGAAGAGGACAGCGGAACUGCGAGUGUAGAGGUGAAAUUCGUAGAUAUUCGCAAGAACACCCGUGGCUAAGGCGGCUCUCUAGUACGGUACUGACGCUGAGACGCGAAAGCGUGGGAGCGAACAGG